UGCGGUUCAUGGAGAGUCUCUGGGAGACAGGCACCUGCGGACGCUGCAGAUAAGUUACGACGCAGUAAGUGAGCCUCGCGGCGCCCUCUGGCACAGCGCCUGUCCGAGCGGCUUCUCCCGGGGAGAACCUGGAGCCAUCCUACCUCUUGGGUGGCCUGGUUUGAUUUCCAGGACAAGGCGACUUGCGUGACAGCCUGCUAUCCACUUUCCCUUUGACUUUGCUUCUGGUUACACGUGGGAAUAGAACCGGCUAAAGAGGACUGCUGAAAGAUGAAAAUUCUAAGCUGAGAAGAAAGCUGAAUGAGGUUCAGAGCUUCUCUGAAGCUCAAACAGAAAUGGUGAGGACACUUGAGCGGAAAUUAGAAGCAAAAAUGAUCAAGGAGGAAAGCGACUACCACGACCUGGAGUCGGUGGUUCAGCAGAAACGGGCUGUAAAGGCAGAAAACCACGUUGUGAAACUAAAACAGGAAAUCAGUUUGCUCCAGGCGCAGGUCUCCAACUUCCAGCGAGAGAAUGAAGCCCUGCGGUGCGGCCAGGGCGCCAGCCUGACCGUGGUGAAGCAGAACGCCG
rnacentral:sRNA from 1 species